UUCGAUUUUCUGGCAGCUACCAUGAAGAGCAAAUGCACGAUUCACAAGUUUCGUUUCGCCAUUUUCAUUGCUGUUAAUUUCGCAAACGCCAAGCAAUCCCACGUGACCUCCUUUGGAUCAGUGAAAAGUGAAAAUUACUCGCGUCAUGAACAUAUAUGUUCAUCUCAGCGCAAAUCACGUUUUGCAUGCUAUAGAAGGGAGGGGGGAUAAAUACUCUUCCUUUCGUGUUUUGAUAUCUUGUUGUUUUGCUACUCUCACUUUGGAGUUCGGAUGGUGUCUAGCAACGUUGGGUACCUCGUUUCUUGUGUGAGCGAGUGGUUGCUGUUUACGACGUGUUCAUAUAUCGAUUUGUAGUGCUGUAAUGUGCAAAUUAGCGGACUUUAUAGCGGCUCUCUAUUUUCCGUCGUUGUCUUUCGAGCAGCGCCUGUUGUUCCGGUAAAAAUCGAGUUGAAUGAAUCGCCACAGCCCCAACGUAUAUCGCGCAGUGUUGACCAAGACCAAGUCCAGCAGGAAUUCUGGCAUGGUAUGUGGCUGCACGGAGGAUUCCGAAAAAGAAAAACAACAACAUGGCUAAUAGGAUGUUGCUGCCCAGGGAGUCCUGGCCGAAGAGGUUUACUCAUUCCAGAAGCAAGAAUUGUACAAUUGUAAGGCGAAUGGAAAUAAAUUGACAUCGACUGA